rnacentral:rRNA from 1 species
UACAGAGGGUGCAAGCGUUGUUCGGAAUUAUUGGGCGUAAAGCGCGUGUAGGCGGCUUGGCAAGUCGGGUGUGAAAUCCCUCAGCUUAACUGAGGAAGUGCGCCCGAAACUGCUUGGCUUGAGUACCGGAGAGGGUGGCGGAAUUCCCGAAGUAGAGGUGAAAUUCGUAGAUAUCGGGAGGAACACCGGUGGCGAAGGCGGCCACCUGGACGGAUACUGACGCUGAGACGCGAAAGCGUGGGUAGCAAAC